UACGUCACAAUGACCUGGCCGACAGGUGGGAGCCGCAGCGAACGCCCCAGGGUUCCCUCUGCGCUGUGCACGGCCAAGGUGAAAACUUGGGCGGUGACUCAAACAAUGCAAGCGAAAAGUGGCUUUGAAGACAGUGUCUUAAGGUGAACAAAUAUGUUCUACAAGCAGUAUCAGGUCAGCAUGGCACUGAAAUUCCUUGGGCUCCCAGAGAGUUUCAGGCUUCAAUGAAGAGAGGAGAUUUAUUUUACACCGAAGAGAAAGUUUUCGGUUUGUUGAGCUUCUCAGUGCUGUGGGUUUCUUGUUUAAUUCGAACUGUGAAAAACUUCAACCAUACCCAGAAUAACCAACACAAUAUUGAAGGAGAGAAACA